CCUACGGGUGGCAGCAGUAGGGAAUAUUGCUCAAUGGGGGAAACCCUGAAGCAGCAACGCAGCGUGGAGGAUGAAGGUUUUCGGAUUGUAAACUUCUUUUGUUAGAGACGAUAAUGACGGUAUCUAACGAAUAAGCACCGGCUAACUCCGUGCCAGCAGCCGCGGUAAUACGGGGGGUGCCAGCGUUACUCGGAAUACCUGGGCGUAAAGAGCGCGUAGGCGGGAUAGCAAGUCAGAUGUGAAAUCCUAUGGCUUAACAAUAGAACUGCAUUUGAAACUGUUAUUAUAGAGGAUGGGAGGGGUAGGUGGGAUUCUUGGUGUAGGGGUAAAAUCCGUAGAGAUCAAGAGGAAUACUCAUUGCGAAGGCGAGCUGCUAGAACAUAACUGACGCUGAUGCGCGAAAGCGUGGGGAGCAAACAGGAUUAGAUACCCGAGUAGUC
rnacentral:rRNA from 1 species